rnacentral:sRNA from 1 species
AUAAUAACUACAUAUAAAUUUAUUAGAUAAAAAAAAGAUUAGCAAAAUGUUAAAAGCACUAAAAGAAUCGACGUACAAACUUUCAUUAGAUGAUUAAAAUUUAUAUAUAUAUAUACCCUCUACUUAUACUCUUAACUUCACCAGUUUAAUUUCCCACCAUCAAAAGCUUGGUAACUAUGGAGAAAGAUCCAGGUACUGUUCAAUUUAUUGUUAAUUUCCCUUACAUUGUUUUGAUUUUGUAUCUUCAUUGUAAAGUUAAGAAUUUUAUCUUAUUUUAUCUCAUUGUUUUGUCCUUUCAUUAUUUAUCCAGAUUUCGCAGUCUCUCUGUUGUGGGAUGGUGAAAACACCCCUGUUGAGGUUGAUCAGGUAGAUAAUUUGAUAAACAACAUUGAAGCUUCUGUGAGAACUGCUGACCCAAGAUAUCAUCUUGCUCAAAGGAAGGUUCUAGUGGGACAUGAAAAUCUCGACUUUAUCAAGGAGAAUGAAAAGUCUCUACAGGUACAAGGUUUCCGCUUGAUCAAACCACCCUAUCGAGAGCGUAAAUGCGUCAUAUGUGAUGGUUCAGUUCAAACAUCACGUCACAAACGCUACCCUUACGAGCGGCCUUAUGACGUAGCUGACAGACUAAUACUACAAGAAUUACUUGUGCAAAAGUUGCUAUGUUUUUAACGAGGAAGACAAACAGAUAAAGAGUUUAGAGAUCUUAUCAGCUUUGCCAAAUAUUGUUCUACAUGAAGUUUUUAAUUUAAUACUCUGUCACGUUCAUUCUAAUUUAAUAAAGAGUUUUGUAGUAAAACUUUGACUUCCAACUCUUAUUACAAUUCGUAUCAGAUGUGAUGCCAGUCUUGUAAUAUAUUGACAUUUGAUUAGCACUAAAGAAAGAUGUGGUACCCAUUGU